UCCCGCGUAAUUUAAGCAUAUUAAUAAGCGGAGGAAAAGAAACUAACUAGGAUUCCCUUAGUAGCUGCGAGCGAACAGGGAAGAGCCCAGCACUGAAUCCUGCGCGCAAAGCACGCGUCUGGAAAUGUAGUGUUUGGGAGGACCCGUUUAUCUCGCCGCCGGGCGUCCGUCCAAGUCCGUCUUGAAAGCGGCCACAGCCCGUAGAGGGUGCCAGGCCCGUAUGACGACGCGUACAAACGGCGGCGAAAGGGUCUCNNNNNNNNNNNNNNNNNNNNNNNNNNNNNNNNNNNNNNNNNNNNNNNNNNCGCGACCCGUUGGGCGUGUGUCGCCUCGGGGCCCGCCGUGGAGCUGGCGUUCGCCGGUGCGCGUCGCGCGGGCGUUAAACACCCGCGUGGCCCCCGCCUUGUGCCAACCGUGCGGAUGCCCGACACACUCUGGCCCGACGGUAUUGAGUCGUGAGUGGACGCGCGGCACGCGAAAAGACCGCCCGCGCGAGCGGGCGGGCGCCCCUCUUCGGGGGGGCGCGCGCUAGCCCCGUCCGGCGACGAUCUAACCGGAUACUCUUCCGACCCGUCUUGAAACACGGACCAAGGAGUCUAACAUGUACGCGAGUCAUUGGGACCGCACUAAACCUAAAGGCGAAAUGAAAGUAAAGGUCGCGGCGCGAGCCCGGCCCACAGAGGGGAGACGGCCGCGCGCCGGAAGGCCGCGGCCAGCAUCCCCGGGGCGUCUCGUUGUCACUGCGACACAGUAGGCGCACCCAGAGCGUACACGUUGGGACCCGAAAGAUGGUGAACUAUGCCUGGUCAGGUCGAAGUCAGGGGAAACCUGGCGCUCGGAGUCUGUACAGAGUGUCGCCGCGAGCAAAUCGUGGGCACACCACCAGUCUCAUCUGGUAAAGCGAAUGAUUAGAGGCCUUGGGGCCGAAACGACCUCAACCUAUUCUCAAACUUUAAAUGGGUGAGAAAGACGACUUGCUUAAAGGCAUGAAGUCGAAAGAGCGGAUGAACGAGUGCCAAGUGGGCCAUUUUUGGUAAGCAGAACUGGUGCUGUGGGAUGAACCAAACGUCGAGUUAAGGCGCCUAAAACGAUGCUCAUGGGAUACCAUGAAAGGCGUUGGUUGCUUAAGACAGCAGGACGGUGGCCAUGGCGAUGUUGAUGUGCCGUGGAAUAAGCUUCUUCACAAGUAGUCGCUUGACCACAUCGGGCGAAAGGGAAUCCGUUUCCUAUUACGGAACCCAGCUGCGGAACCGACCAUGCGGGCCAAUGCGGAGCCGCGACUCUCCGCACGUACCGCCCGUCGUCGCCGCGCCUCCGUGCGCGCGCCUCGGCGGGAAACGGCGUGCGCGUCGCGUUGCCGAGCAACUCGUCGGGGUAACCCAAAGGGACCCGGAGACGCCGCCGGACGAUCGAGGCAGAGUUUUCUGUUCUGCAUAAGCAUUCGAGUUCCCUGGAAUCGCCUAGCGCGGAGAUAGGGUUUGGAAUGCGAAGAGCACCGCACUUGCGGCGGUGUCUCGAUCUGUCUCGCGGACCUUGAAAAUCCGGGAGAGGGCCACGUGGAGGUGUCGCGCUGGAUCGUACCCAUAUCCGCAGCAGGUCUCCAAGGUGAG
rnacentral:rRNA from 1 species